GACCUCGUAGCUCAGUUGGUAGAGCGAGUGAACUAGUAUCCCAAAGGUCGUAGGUUCGAUCCCUACCGUGGUCA